rnacentral:misc_RNA from 1 species
GAUGAAGAACGUAGCGAAAUGCGAUACGUAAUGUGAAUUGCAGAAUUCAGUGAAUCAUCGAAUCUUUGAACGCACAUUGCGCCCGCCAGCAUUCUGGCGGGCAUGCCUGUCCGAGCGUCAUUUCAACCCUCAGGGUCCCCCCGCCUCGCGCGGUCGGAGCCUGGUGUUGGGGAUCGGCCCGCCCCGCGCGGCGCCGUCCCCCAAAUACAGUGGCGGUCCCGCCGCAGCCUCCCCUGCGCAGUAGUUAUCAACUCGCACUGGAGCGCGGCGCGGCAACGCCGUAAAACCCCCGACUUUCAGAAAGUUGACCUCGGAUCAGGUAGGAAUACCCGCUGAACUUAAGCAUAUCAAUAAGCGGAGGA